rnacentral:rRNA from 1 species
UACGGAGAACUCAAGCGUUACCCGGAAUCACUGGGCGUAAAGCGUUGCGUAGGCGGAUUUGUAAGUCGGAUCUUAAAAGCCGGGGCUCAACCUCGGAAUUGGAUACGAUACUGCAAGACUAGAGGAUGGUAGAGGUGAGCGGAAUUGCUGGUGUAGGAGUGAAAUCCGUAGAUAUCAGCAGGAACACCAAUGGCGAAGGCAACUCACUGGGCCAUUCCUGACGCUAAGGCACGAAAGCGUGGGGAGCGAACCGG